rnacentral:rRNA from 1 species
GACGAACGCUGGCGGCGUGCUUAACACAUGCAAGUCGAGCGGUAAGGCCCUUUCGGGGGUACACGAGCGGCGAACGGGUGAGUAACACGUGGGUGACCUGCCCUUAGCUCUGGGAUAAGCCUGGGAAACUGGGUCUAAUACCGGAUAUGACUCCAUAACGCAUGUUGUGGGGUGGAAAGCCUUGUGCGGCUAGGGAUGGGCCCGCGGCCUACCAGCUUGUUGGUGGGGUGAUGGCCUACCAAGGCGACGACGGGUAGCCGGCCUGAGAGGGCGACCGGCCACACUGGGACUGAGACACGGCCCAGACUCCUACGGGAGGCAGCAGUGGGGAAUCUUGCGCAAU